rnacentral:tRNA from 1 species
GGCUUCACAGCUCAGUUGGUCGGGGAUCGCACCGAUAUGGCGGAGGUCACAGGUUCAAAUCCUGUUGAAGCCC